CUAAAAUAAACACUAAAUGAUGAGAAAAUACAAAAACGAAUGCAUUCAAACGCUAAUUAGUAAAGUUAUAACCAUUUGCAGACAUGACAAGGAAAAAGCUACAACAUAUAAGCCAACAUGUAGGCUUUCACACAUAAUCUACUUCAUCUAGAACUAGAAAUGCUACAUGUUGAUUUGUGUUCUCCCUUAGUAUUUGCCAGUUUUGAGCCAUAAAAUUGUCAAAGUUUUUUUAAAAUAUUCCAAAUUGAAAAUGAGAGAGAAACAACCGGUUAAGUAACCCUCUAUAUAAACUACAACUGACGGUGAUCCGCCCGGUGGCAUCAGCACAUUCUAAUUGACAUAUAGAAAAUAAUAGCAUAUCAAACUGAAACAGCACUAGUAAG
rnacentral:misc_RNA from 1 species